rnacentral:rRNA from 1 species
ACAACGGAUCUCUUGGCUCUCGCAUCGAUGAAGAACGCAGCGAAAUGCGAUAAGUAAUGUGAAUUGCAGAAUUCAGUGAAUCAUCGAAUCUUUGAACGCACCUUGCGCUCCUUGGUAUUCCGAGGAGCACGCCUGUUCGAGUGUCGUGAAAUUCUCAAGCUGGAUAGCUUUAUUGUUAUCUCAGUUUGGUUUUGGGCUUUGCCGUCUCCUCUUUUGUGAACGGCUGGCCUUAAAAGUAUUAGCUGACCCUUGUUUGUGGGAUUGGUUCUACUCAGCGUGAUAAUUUUAUGACCGCUGAGGACAUCUUUCGGGAUGGCCAGCUCUGCCUUGGAUUGCUUCUAAUCCUGGUAUUUGGAGUCCGCUCCUUAUCCUUAACUUUUUCAACUUUGACCUCGAAUCAGGUGGGACUACCCGCUGAACUUAAGCAUAUCAAUAAGCGGAGGAAAAGAAACUAACAAGGAUUCCCCUAGUAACGGCGAGUGAAGCGGGAUGAGCUCAAAUUUAAAAUCUGGCAGUCUUUGAUUGUCCGAGUUGUAAUCUAGAGAAGCGUCUUCCGUGC